GACGAACGCUGGCGGCGUGCUUAACACAUGCAAGUCGAACGAGAGGAGAAGGAAGCUUGCUUCUUUCAAAUCUAGUGGCAAACGGGUGAGUAACACGUAAACAACCUGCCUUCAGGAUGGGGACAACAGACGGAAACGACUGCUAAUACCGAAUACGUUCCUUAGGUCGCAUGACUUUAGGAAGAAAGGGUGGCCUCUACUUGUAAGCUAUCGCCUGAAGAGGGGUUUGCGUCUGAUUAGGUAGUUGGUGAGGUAACGGCCCACCAAGCCGACGAUCAGUAGCCGGCCUGAGAGGGUGAUCGGCCACAUUGGGACUGAGACACGGCCCAGACUCCUACGGGAGGCAGCAGUGGGGAAUAUUGCACAAUGGGGGAAACCCUGAUGCAGCAACGCCGCGUGAGUGAUGACGGUCUUCGGAUUGUAAAGCUCUGUCUUUAGGGACGAUAAUGACGGUACCUAAGGAGGAAGCCACGGCUAACUACGUG
rnacentral:rRNA from 1 species